rnacentral:rRNA from 1 species
GAUGAACGCUGGCGGCGUGCCUAAUACAUGCAAGUCGAGCGAACAGACGAGGAGCUUGCUCCUCUGACGUUAGCGGCGGACGGGUGAGUAACACGUGGAUAACCUACCUAUAAGACUGGGAUAACUUCGGGAAACCGGAGCUAAUACCGGAUAAUAUCUUGAACCGCAUGGUUCAAUAGUGAAAGACGGUUUUGCUGUCACUUAUAGAUGGAUCCGCGCCGCAUUAGCUAGUUGGUAAGGUAACGGCUUACCAAGGCAACGAUGCGUAGCCGACCUGAGAGGGUGAUCGGCCACACUGGAACUGAGACACGGUCCAGACGCCUAAGGGAGGCAGCAGUAGGGAAUCUUCCGCAAUGGGCGAAAGCAUGACGGAGCAACGCCGCGUGAGUGAUGAAGGUCUUCGGAUCGUAAAACUCUGUUAUUAGGGAAGAACAAAUGUGUAAGUAACUAUGCACGUAUUGACGGUACCUAAUCAGAAAGCCACGGCUAACUACGUG